ACUUUAAAACAUACUUGAAUUUAGACCAUAGACCCAUCCAAACACACACACACACACUCUCUCUCUCUCUCUCUCUCUCUCUCUCUCUCUCUCUACAUAUGGAAGCAACGCUAGUUUUGCAAAACAGUGGGCCUUUCGCAAGUCGGGGUCGCCGGAAACAACACAUUCACGGCCGCCUGGCGAAACACAGCCGCCCUUGUUCUAUUCUUUCCGUCCUCACAAAACCGACUAUUACGACUACACCGCAAUCAGAUGAUCUAAAUCAAGUUUCAAGCUCCAAUUCUACUGCUGCUGCUACUACUACUACUGUUUAUAGGGAUUCUUGGUUCGAUCGUAUCGCCAUUAACCAUCUCUCCCGGAGCGUUCAAUCCACUACAGGGAUAAGAAAUGAUAAGAGUGGAUAUGAGAGUUUGGUGGAGGCAGCAACGAUGGCGUCGCGUAAAUUCAAUCUCAUACGACAACGUGAGUUAGUCAUUAAAGCACUCGACAAGGCCUUCCCUAGUCCCAUCCUGUCCAUGAUCAGGACAUUGCUACCAAAUUCUAAAUUUGCAAGGGAAUAUUUUGCAGUUUUCACAACUUUGUUUUUCACUUGGUUAGUUGGAGCCAACGAGGUGAGGGUGUCGGAGCUCAACGGACGAAGAGAAAGGAAUGUAGUCCACAUCCAAAAGUGCAGGUUUCUAGAGGAGACCAAUUGUGUUGGAAUGUGCAUCAACCUAUGCAAGAUGCCCUCUCAAACGUUCAUUAAGGACUCCUUGGGUAUGCCGGUCAACAUGGUCCCUAAUUUUGAUGAUAUGAGUUGUGAGAUGAUAUUUGGUCAGGAUCCACCUGCAACAACUGAAGAUCCAGCAUUUAAGCAACCAUGCUACAAACUAUGCAAAACAACCCAAAAGCACAGUACAAGUUGUUCCAGCUAACAUCCAAGGAACUUGUCCAAAAAAAUUAAUAAAAUUCAGUAGUAUAUGGAAGGAGGAAUUCUCAAUCGAGAUUAAUAAUCCAGUAGUCCUGGAGCACAAACUCAACCACACUGACAUCAUGAUGGUGUGGUCCUGGACCAAUAAGAGUAGUAAUCACAGGAUGACAAUAACUUCCUAAACAACAUAAUUGAUUUUGUAAAUGCAUUCAGGCCUUAAAAAUAAACAAAACAGAUUCAAUCUGAAUGGUAAUGACUGCCUCAAAAAUGUUUUCUUUUCUAAUAAAAUUUAGCAUUUUUUCCAUGUAGUAAUAUUGUUGCAAAAGCCAAUUUCAAAACUGCGGACAGAAUGUAA